rnacentral:rRNA from 1 species
UUAAAAAAACAAAUUGCAUUUAGUGGAUGCCUAGACAAUAGUGAUAAGGACGUCAAGCGAAACGAAAAGCCAUAGUAAGAAUCGUAUCUUCGUAAAUCUAUGGAUCUCCUAUAAGAGAAAACUCGAACUGAAUUAAAAAACUUAGUGAACUGAAACAUCUCAGUAACUAAAGGUAAAGGAAAUCAACCGAGACUCCGUGAGUAGUGUCGAGCGAAAUCGGAUAUAGACUUAAUUUUAAAUAGAAUUAUAAAAAAUUUUUAAUUUUAAAUUAUUUGGAAUAAUAAUGCCAUAGAGGGUAAAAGCCCCGUACCUUAAAAAUAUUUAUAACUUCGAAUAAAAACAUAUAAAAGUAAAAUGAUACCAAAAUAUCGUUUGAAUACUGAGGUACCACCCUCAAUAAGUCUAAGUAUGCACUUUUGAUCGAUAGUGAACAAGUACCGUGAGGGAAAGGUGAAAUAGAUUUUGAAAUAAACCCUGAAACUGAAUGCAUACAAACAUUCAAAGUUUUUAAAUUUUUAAAUUUAAGAAUAAUGGAGUGCCUUUUGUAUAAUGAAUCAACGAGUAAAUAUAUGAUGCAUGAGCUUAAGCUAUUAAGUGGAGGCGUAGUUUAUUUAAGGAAAACGAUAAAUAAGUAUCAUAUAUUUGACCCGAAACUAAGUGAUCUAACUAUGAGCAGGUUGAAGUUUCGAUAUUUAAGAAAUGGAGGACCGAAUUCUUGUCUGUUGCAAAAGACUGAAAUGACUUGUUGUUAGGGGUGAAAUGCCAAUCGAACUUAGAAAUAGCUGGUUUUCUGCGAAAUCUAUUUAGGUAGAGUGGAUUAUAUACAUGUGAGAGGUAGAGCACUUUUUGGACAAGGGUGGCCCAAAGCUUUACUGAGUCCAAGAAAACUCCGAAUACUCAUAUAAGUAUUAAUAAUCUAAACAGACAUUAGGCGAUAAGGUCUAGUGUCGAGAGGGAAACAGCCCUAAUCGUUUGCUAAGGUUCCAAAGUAUAUAUCUUGAUUAAAAUUUUUUUAGUCAAGCCAUUAAGUGGUUAAGGAAGUGAAAAGGCUUAGACAACUAGGAAGUAGGCUUGGAAGCAGCCAUCUUUUAAAGAAAGCGUAAUAGCUCACUGGUCGAUUUUUAUAUAGCUGAUUUUUUUAAAAUUUAGCUAUUAAAAGGCUUUUUUGCGCCGAAAAUUCAACGGAGCUCAAAUAUAUCACCGAAGCAACGGCAGUUAAUAAAUAUUAAUUGGGUAGCAGAACGUUCUGUAGGCCGAUCUAAUGUCUUAUUGUUAAAUAAGUACAUAGGUAUCAGAAGUGAGAAUGUUGAUAUGAGUAACGAAAAAUCAUGUGAAAUUCAUGAUCGCCGGAAGCCAUAGGUUUUCUACAAAGUAUAUCUUGAUGUAGAGUUAAUCGGUCCCUAAGAUUUACACGAAAGUAAUAAGUCGAUGGGUUAGUUGUUUUAAGAAUCAACUGUUUCAUUAUAAGUGACGAAAAGUAUAACUUAUUUAUUUAUUUAUGGAUAUAUUAGAUAAAAAGAAAUCUUUUCCAGGAAAGAACUUAUAUAUAAAAUAAAAACCGUACUAAAAUCGACUCAGAUUGGCAGAUAGAAUAUAUCAAGGCGUAAAGAUAACCGUAUUGAAGGAACUCGGCAAAUUGCUUCCGUAACUUCGGGAUAAGGAAGCUUGAACUAUUAUAGUUCAAGGGCACAAAAUCGGUAAAAAUGACUGUUAUUUUGAACACAGGACUUUGCUAAGCUUAAACGCGAUGUAUAAGGUCUGACGCCUGCCCAGUAUUAGAACGAAAAAAGGAAGAGUUUAAUGCUCCUAAUAUAAUCAAUGAUAAACGGCGGCUGAAUACUUAACAGUCCUAAGGUAGCGAAAUUCCUUGUCGGGUAAGUUCCGACCUGCACGAAUGGCGUCACAAUUUUUACGCUGUCUCCAAUACGGUCUUAGUGAAAUUGAAGUUACCGUGAAGAUGCGGUAUUCGUACAUUUAGACGGGAAGACCCUAGCAGCUUUACUAUAGUCAUACGUUGAGAAAGAAUUAUACUUAUGUAGACUAGGUGGGACUUUUUUAAGGCUCUUGAAAGACCACUUUUUUAUAAUUAUUUCUCUCAUUUUAAAUAAAAGACCGCGUAUGAUAGGUAGUUUAUUUGGGGCGAAUUUUUGCUAAAGAGUAACGCAAAAGUAUAAAGGUAAUCUCAAGUUGGUCGGACAUCAACUGUAGAGUGUAAUGGCAUAAGAUUGCCUAACUGAUGAGACCUAAAAGUCGAACAGUGACGAAAGUCGGUCAUAGUGACCCGGAUAUAGUUGUGUGGAAAAGUAUUCGAUUAACUGAUAAGUUACGCUAGGGAUAACAGGCUAAUCUCCAGCGAGAGUUCUUAUCUACCUGGAGGUUUGGCACCUCGAUGUCGACUCAGAGCAUCCUCGAGCUGCAGAAGGUUCGAAGGGUAUGGCUGUUCGCCAUUUAAGGCUUUACGUGAGUUGGGUUAAAUACGUCGUAAAGACAGUAUGGUUCCUAUCUGAUGGGCGUGUCAAAAAUUGAGAGGAGGAUUUCUUUGUACGAGAGGACCAGAAAUCACGAACCGCUUGUGUAUCAGUUGUUAUACCAAUAGCAUCGCUGAGUAGCUACGUUCGGAAUAGAUAACUACUGAAAGCAUCUCAAGUAGGAAACUAGCCUCAAAACAAGUUUUUAAAAAAUCGUAGAAGAUAAUUACGUAAUAGGUGGAAAGUGUAUAAAUAGCAAUAUAAGAGCUUAUCCAUACUAAAUAUAUAUAUUUUUUUAUU